CAGUAGCCACGGUAAUACGUAGGGUGCAAGCGUUAAUCGGAAUUACUGGGCGUAAAGCGUGCGCAGGCGGUUAUAUAAGACAGAUGUGAAAUCCCCGGGCUCAACCUGGGAACUGCAUUUGUGACUGUAUAGCUAGAGUACGGCAGAGGGGGAUGGAAUUCCGCGUGUAGCAGUGAAAUGCGUAGAUAUGCGGAGGAACACCGAUGGCGAAGGCAAUCCCCUGGGCCUGUACUGACGCUCAUGCACGAAAGCGUGGGGAGCAAACAGGAUUAGAUACCCCGGUAGUCCCUGUCUCUUAUAA
rnacentral:rRNA from 1 species